CCAAAGAAAAUGAAAACAAAAAAUAAAUCUAAUACAGAGUAAUAAAUUAAGACAAUUCAAUAUAUAAUUCCAAUUAUCUUUAUAAAUAUAUAAGAUAUCUCACAAUGAUUUACAAAUAUAAAAUAACUGUGUAAAUAUUUAGAUUUUCGGUAAUAGAUAUUUUAAUUUCUAAAGAAGAGGUAUACUCAUAAUCUCAGAAAGUAUUAACUUUUUUUGGCAUUUGUUUUAUAGGACAUUUAAGAAAUAAGCUGUUCUAGAAUUUUACAUUCAUGUUAUUUUUUGUCACCUUUUUUUUUUUAGGGGGAGGGGUAAAAUCAAAAGUAGGUAGUCGUUUCAUUUCUAAAAAUU